CAUUGGUAGCCUCGCAACUUUGUACUAUGAACCCCGCCAGGACCGGAAGGUAGCAACGGUAGUAGAUACAUAGUGUGCCGAGGAUGUGCUAGUGGGG
rnacentral:SRP_RNA from 1 species